UUCCUCCUCGUCAUCGUCUUCCAGGUUUUCUGUCAAGCAAAAUCCAGACAGAGAUGAAAUAGUGCCCCUUCACCCGUUACAGACACAAAGGCCUGCCUGGGCACGGACAGCAAUGACCUGUGUAUGAGGGCAGGACACACUGAGAGAAUUGCACUGACAGCCCCAUGUGUGACUUUGAAGGAAUGGCCUGGGAUGGUGUCCUGACGCAUCAGGCAAAAUGUCCUUGAUCUGCUGGCUCCCCAUCAUGGCGUGCUCUGAGUUUAACUGGGUAAAGAUCAAAUAUCUUUUGUCUCCAGGUCAUUGGGUAGUUGUCCAGUUUCCCUCUGGAAUUCUCUAGUUCUCUCCUCCUCCUUCCACAAAGCUGGCUCCCAGUCUCAGUGACUCUAUGUCCACUCAGAACGCCCACAUAGACCCUACUCCUUUCUCUAAAAGGAGGAUAGAAAACCCCAUGACUCACCCCUCCAUACAUCCCGGGACUUCACGGGGACCUCCAAGUUGGCUUUUACAUCAUAAGAGGGAAAAAUUUUCUUGUGGAAAGUGUUCUGUUACAAAUCAACGUAUCUGCCCCAAGAUUUUCAGAUUAUAACUAAAUAAACCCCAAACAGUUAGGAGUAUGAUCCCUUUCUGAAGCACAUUCAUGAGCAUUCCCUUCUUUAGUAGUUACAGCUACCAGGCGACACAUCUUUUGACCCAUUUUACAGAUGAGGAGACAGAAAUCCAGGAAGGAGAAAUCAAAUACUCGCCUGUAGCUAUAAAAGCCAGAGCUCAGGCAAGAGCCUGAGGAGCUCUAGCUCAGUCCAGGAUUCUUUUCACUCUAACAAGCUGCCUCCUGUCACGUCCUCCUUUGUGUGCUGUGACACCAGGUGGAGGCUGCCUCCUGCCCCAAAGGGCACGGUCCCUCAGGGCGGAAGCAGGCUCUUGGAGCACUAUGAUGUCCCCCUGUGCAUUUCUCCCCUCUGCUCCCACCCAGCCAGUCGUGGUCCUGUCAUGGCUCCAAGUGCGAUGUGGACACCAGGACAGCUGGUGAAAGUGUUAUGAGGGGAGAUUCCGAGGCUCUUGUCAGCCAGGGACCUUGGAGGGGCUCAGCGCAAUCAGGGCUUCUGGCCGCCUUACCUGGGCUAAGCUUGCGGACAAGCUCCCAGCUGAGCCCAGAGGCACAAAGAUAACAGAAUAUUAAACGAGGAAAGACUGGACACCGCAACUUCCCCACUGGUUCUGAUUGGAAGACUAAGGGAGAGGUCACAGAAGAUUCCGUAUAGAGGUGGAGAAAAAGAAACCCUCCUAGACUGUUGUUGGGAAUAUAAAUUGGUGCAGCCACUGUGGAAAACAGUCUGGAGGUUUCUCAAAACCUUUAGAAAGACAGCUUUUUUUCAGAGAAAGUCUGACAAACUGUAGUCAGUCAGGAGGUGAUUGUGAUUAAAGGUAAAUGCGGUAGUGAUUGCACCACAUCCUGAAUGUCCUAAAUGCCAAUGAAUGCUUCACUCGAAUUUAGCCAACUUUAGGUUCUGUGAAUUUCACCUCAAUAAGUUUUAUUUUAAAAAAAGACUCAAGGAACCUUUGAGUAAUUGGAGUCCAUAGUUUACCAAUUAUUGUUCUCUAAUGGUGUUAUGCAAAUUCGUAUGCAUGUGGCUGCCAUGAAAAUUUGGGCCAUUCUCCUGGCCCAGAGUUGCUCCUUGCCCCCUUCAGAGAUGCCUACAACUUCCCAGCAGACGUCCAGCACAGAGCCCCGCUUACUUGAGCUUCUCCGCUAACGUUGACUUCUCUGUGGGCUUCCCCUCCUGGAACUGCAGCUUCUCCCCCAGCACCGAUUCAAUGAUGUCUUUGCACGCUCCAGACUCUGAGGAAAGACAGAGAGGCCGGCCUCAGUGGAAAGCUGGCCAUGCUGCUGGGGUGACUGCCUGCAAGGGAGGAGGCAGGCUUCCAUCUCUUCUCUCAGAGGCAGAUAGAACCCCAGCACCAGGCUCUCCACUGAGAUUUCCACCUUCUAUUGCUCAGCCUCCCAAAUACACGGCAUUUGGUCACUCCUCAUUUGACAGCUGAGCAAAGAGAAGCUCCAAGGCAGAGAAAGUGACCAGACAAGAUUAGCUGACGUUUGGCAAGCUCAGAAUUCACAUGCCCUGAGACUGACGCCGAGUCCUGGGCCACUUUACCAAGACUUGCAGCCUCUUGAGUAAAACACUAAGCAGCGGCAUGAAGUGGCGAUCCCUGUGUGCUCGGGAAGGCCCCUGGGCCUACUGAUUGUUGGGCCCUCUGAGCUCAGAAUUUCAAGGACAAGUACCUUCACGAUGAAAUAUAAAUGUAUACGAAUGCAAUUCUGAAAAAUACAAGGCAUAACCAUCAAUCCCUGAAGGAAAUAGGCACAGGCUGUAGAAGUUGUUUUCAAUUCCAAGUAGUACAAGAAAGAACUAAUAAAUAGUGUUUCCUGUGUGUCAAGAACUGUUUUAGUAACUUUACAGAAAUAACUCAUGUGAUUCAUUGCAACCGCUCAAAGAAGUAGGCACUAUGACAGGGCCAUACUAACAGAGGAGGAAACCGUGAGGCUCAGAAAAAGCCACAGCUUGGAUCUGAGCCCAGGAAGAGUAGCUCAGUCUUCACCAAUGCACUGUGUUACCUCGCCACAAGAUCUUGGGUGACAUCUUUCUCCUUCAUCAUCUUCAAAAUUUGUUUCCUACAGUUAUGUUACGCCUAUAAAAAAAAGCUGUAAGGAAAACUUAGUCCUUUCUCAAAACCUCAUCUCUUCACUUUCUUAAAAAGCAGGUUUCAAUGUUUACUUUUCUCUGCGUCAGUCAUUUGAAGUUCACCACUCCCACGAUGGUUUAUUGGAAAAUAACACCCAUCCAGACUCAGAGUCGUCAAGAUCCCUUCUACUCACUCUGUUUGGCACGAGGCCCUGUUCUCACGAUCCCUUUCGUCACCACAGCCCCUCUUACUGAACAGCCCAGACCCUCAAGGUCACCCGGACCUGCUGGCAGUCCUGCAUCACCAAAGGUUCACCAGCUCAGAGAGACACAGAAGAGGGGGUACGGAUUGUCUCAUUUCCCCAGAGACACCCUCUACCUCACCCCAAGAGGCAAAGUGGCUUCCUUGGCCUCAGAAAGAAAAGCCUGUGCUCAGGAAGCAUGGCUUCCCGCUCAGCAGGGUCGUCUCUGUCUGGAUGGCGUCACUCAUGGAUACCACAGUGUCACCGAGGAGCACACUCAUCUUCAGGCUCCUGUAAAGCAGGGAACAUCACCUGCUUCCCCCGGUGUGUACCAUCACCCCAUCUCCCCAGUGUAAGGAGCACAGAGCUUUGCCAGUGGGACCUCAGAGAAGCCUGAACUGAUGGAGCUCAUUAGUCCCGGACACUUAGGCCAAGAGUGAUGCAGGAUCUGAUUCCGUACACGGAGGAUGCUGGGAGAAACAGGUUAGCCUGCUCCAGAGGGAAACACGCAGUGCUGUGACUGCACCAGGAAUCAGUCACUGGGAUUUUACCUAAUCCCACCCUACACCUCACUGCCAAUCUGGAAAAGUCCCUCAACUUUUUGGGCCUCGGUUUGUCCAUGCUCAGCAAACUGAGGGUAAAAUACCCACUUGCACCUUCCCUGGACUGUGGUCACAAUGAAGUUUGUGUUGCCUCAGGGAACAGAAGAAAAGGUCUGGAGAGUUUUUAGUUUCUUAGGGGGACACGGUGGUCACUCAUCCCUCUGCUGACCAUGACCCUGUAGGACUUACUGUAUUUCUGCAGCUGGUUGGCCAGGAUGUAGGACAGUGGACUCAGAGACAAGGAACUUCUGUUUGAGGUCUCG
ensembl:lncRNA